rnacentral:rRNA from 1 species
AACGAACGCUGGCGGCAGGCUUAACACAUGCAAGUCGAGCGCCCCGCAAGGGGAGCGGCAGACGGGUGAGUAACGCGUGGGAAUGUACCCUUCUCUACGGAAUAACACAGAGAAAUUUGUGCUAAUACCGUAUACGCCCUCAGGGGGAAAGAUUUAUCGGAGAAGGAUCAGCCCGCGUAGGAUUAGCUAGUUGGUGUGGUAAUGGCGCACCAAGGCGACGAUCCUUAGCUGAUCUUAGAGGAUGAUCAGCCACACUGGGACUGAGACACGGCCCAGACUCCUACGGGAGGCAGCAGUGGGGAAUCUUGGACAAUGGGCGCAAGCCUGACCCAGCCAUGCCGCGUGAGUGAUGAAGGCCUUAGGGUUGUAAAGCUCUUUUGUCCGGGAAGAUAAUGACUGUACCGGAAGAAUAAGCCCCGGCUAAAUUCGUGCCAGCCGCCGCGGUAAGAC